rnacentral:rRNA from 1 species
UGAGGAAUAUUGGUCAAUGGGCGCAAGCCUGAACCAGCCAUCCCGCGUGAAGGAAGAAGGCGCUAUGCGUUGUAAACUUCUUUUCCAGGGGGAGAAUUUUUCCGUCGUGACGGGAAUUGACGGUACUCUGGGAAUAAGCAUCGGCUAACUCCGUGCCAGCAGCCGCGGUAAUACGGAGGAUGCGAGCGUUAUCCGGAUUUAUUGGGUUUAAAGGGUGCGUAGUCGGAUAGAUACGUCAGUGGUGAAGUUCUGCAGCUUAACUGUAGACGUGCCGUUGAUACUGGCAGUCUUGAGUAUGGUCAAGGCAGGCGGAAUGUGUAAUGUAGCGGUGAAAUUCUUAGAUAUUACACAGAACACCGAUUGCGAAGGCAGCUUGCUGGGCCAUUACUGACGCUGAUGCACGAAAGCGUGGGGAUCGAACA